rnacentral:rRNA from 1 species
AUUGAACGCUAGCGGGAUGCUUUACACAUGCAAGUCGAACGAGUGGCGGACGGGAGAGAAAUAUAUCGGAACGUGCCCAGUAGCGGGGGAUAACUACUCGAAAGAGUGGCAAAUACCGCAUACUAGUGGAGUGGCCGAUAUCGGAUUAGCUAGUUGGUGGGGUAAAGGCUUACCAAGGCAACGAUCCGUAGCAGGUUUGAGAGGAGGACCAGCCACACUGGAACUGAGACACGGCCCAGACUCCUACGGGAGGCAGCAGUGGGGAAUUUUGGGCAAUGGGCGAAAGCCUGAUGCAGCCAUCCCGCGUGUAUGAGAAGGCCUUCGGGUUGUAAAGUACUUUUGGCAGAGAAGCGGUAUCUGCAGAAUAAGCCCCGGCUAACUACGUGCCAGCAGCCGCGGUAAUUC